GAUGAACGCUAGCUACAGGCUUAACACAUGCAAGUCGAGGGGAAACGGCAUCGAAAGCUUGCUUUUGAUGGGCGUCGACCGGCGCACGGGUGAGUAACGCGUAUCCAACCUGCCCAUCACUUGGGAAUAACCUUGCGAAAGUAAGACUAAUGCCCAAUGACAUCCCACGAAGGCAUCCGAAUGGGAUUAAAGAUUUAUCGGUGAUGGAUGGGGAUGCGUCUGAUUAGCUUGUUGGCGGGGUGACGGCCCACCAAGGCAAGGAUCAGUAGGGGUUGUGAUAGGCAGGACCCCCACAAUGGAACUGGGACACAAUCCAAACUCCGACGGGGGGCAGCAGAGCGGAAUAUUGGUCAAUGGGCGAGAGCCUGAAACAGCCAAGUAGCGUGCAGGAUGACGGCCCUAUGGGUUGUAAACUGCUUUUAUAAGGGAAUAAAGUGGGUCACGUGUGACUUUUUGAAUGUACCUUAUGAAUAAGGACCGGCUAAUUCCGUG
rnacentral:rRNA from 1 species